CCCGGUGCCCUUAAUUGAGUGCCAGGAGAGGCCGGAACGUUUACUUUGAAAAAAUUGGAGUGUUCAAAGCAGGCCUCGCGCCUGAACAGCAGAGCAUGGAAUAAUGGAAUAGGWCCUCGGUUCUAUUGCGUUGGUUUUCGGAACUCGAGGUAAUGAUUAAGAGGGACUGAUGGGGGNAUUCGUAUUGCGGUGUGAGAGGUGAAAUUCUUGGAUCGCCGCAAGACGACCGACUGCGAAAGCAUUUGCCAAGAAUGUUUUCAUUAAUCAAGAACGAAAGUUAGAGGUUCGAAGGCGAUCAGAUACCGCCCUAGUUCUAACCAUAAACGAUGCCGACUGACGUAUCCGCCGGCGUUACUCCCAUGACGCGGCGGNCAGUCUAAGGGAAACCAAAGUCUUUGG
rnacentral:rRNA from 1 species